UACGGGAGGCAGCAGUGGGGAAUAUUGCACAAUGGGCGCAAGCCUGAUGCAGCCAUGCCGCGUGUAUGAAAAAGGCCUUCGGGUUGUAAAGUACUUUCAGUCGUGAGGAAGGUGUUAAGGUUAAUAACCUUAGCAAUUGACGUUAGCGACAGAAGAAGCACCGGCUAACUCCGUGCCAGCAGCCGCGGUAAUACGGAGGGUGCGAGCGUUAAUCGGAAUUACUGGGCGUAAAGGGCACGCAGGCGGUUAAUUAAGUUUGGAUGUGAAAUCCCCGGGCUUAACCUGGGAAUGGCAUUCAAGACUGGUUAGCUAGAGUCUUGUAGAGGGGGUAGAAUUCCAUGUGUAGCGGUGAAAUGCGUAGAGAUGUGGAGGAAUACCGGUGGCGAAGGCGGCCCCUGGACAAAGACUGACGCUCAUGUGCGAAAGCGUGGGGAGCAAACAGGGAUUAGAUACC
rnacentral:rRNA from 1 species